CACAAAAAGCCGAGAAAACUACGAAAUGAACGGGAGGCAGCAGGAUCAAACCAGCUCAAGAGGCUUUGAAUAAACAAAAAGAAGGCAGAAAAAUUGCUGAAUCCUUAACCAACCUGAAAGAC
rnacentral:lncRNA from 1 species